GUAGUUCCUCCGCCGGAGCGGGACCUCCGGUGCCCCGGGCCAGGGAUGUGAGAAAGAAGCGAGCCCUCGAGUUUCCUCGGGGCAUGUGGGAAGGUUUUUUUCAGGAUCCAGGCAGAACCUUACAGAGCUGGGAGUUUUUUAACUUUCCAUUCCUGGCAGUGACGCCAGGAGCUUUAAGUGAUGGAAAUAUGCGAGUCAAUCAGUGGAUGGUGUUAGUACUGUUUUCUCUUAUGAAGAUCAAGCCUGCCCUUCGGGUCUACUUCCACCUUUUCCCCCUGCCCGUCUCCCACCGUCUCCCUCCUCUCCACUGGCUCUCAGAAGCCGGACAGCCUGUGUUCAACUUGCCUCCACGGAGUGGUUGUGUGACCUUGAUGAAGCACGCAACUUCUCUGCCUCAGUUUCCUUAUCUGUAACAUAGGGAUAGAAUAGUACCCGCCUUGUAGGGUUAUUUGAGGAUGAAAGGAGUUAAGUCUCGUGAAAACGCUCUUUCACAUAUAACUGCUCAAUUAAAUAUUAAAUACCAUACUCCUCUCCCACCAGGGCUCUCCCAAACAAAAUGAUAGACAGGAACAAAGGAACAGUAAAUGGAGUAACUUGGCUAGAAUAUGGCAGUAACUACAAGGCAUGUUCUGCUCUGGCACGAAGGUAACCACCACUCAUACCUCUCCAGCCCUGUGAAUACGUCAAUUGACUAAGCAGAUUCCUUGAGGAUAAAGUAGGCUCCUGGGGACCUUGCUUGUUGGGCUACUUGCUUUGUGGAUGUUAAACAGAUAAUUCUCAUGAGUUUGAGUGACGUCUGAUCUACCAGUAUUCCCCCUACUCUGAUUAGAAAUGACUUGACCAUGCCAAAAAGAAUAAAAGACAGCUCUGAUACAAAUGUAGCCAUUUUAAUGUGACUCCCUCUAGAUCCAAGGAAGCCAGUACUUACGAACAUUUUCAGAGUCAAUACUUACUGUACUGUACCAUAGUCGAGGAAAAGGGUAUUUUUCCUAACUCUCCUGGAGUAGCACAUCCCAAGAUCUCAACUUUCCAAAACCUGGAUCAACUAUAUUUCUUUUCUUUCUCCAGCCACCACUCCCCUAGCCUGUUCAACUACAGCUAUGUUACCUGAACUGCUUUCCACUCUUUCCCAUAAAUGUAAUGAUUAGAACACUAA
rnacentral:lncRNA from 1 species